CAGUACUGCAAGAGCUUGGAUUACAGCAGCACAUCAACUGCUAAUCUAAUCACUCUGUACAGCUCCAAUAUUGUUUCAGGGUGCAGUUGCUCUCAGUGUAUGUCUACACCACUUUCUGAGGCAUGACUGCAGCUGAGGGGGGACAUACCUACACUAGCUUUACUCUAGCUAGCAUGGCUAAAAAUAGUGAAGAUGCAGCAGCACAUGCUGUACAAGCCUGUGCAUCCCCACUAUUUUUAGCCAUGCUAGCUAGAGUAAAG